AUUUGGCUUAUGUCACCGUGCAGACACUGAAGUUUAUGUUCUUCAGUAUUUUAUAGAACUUAAAAUCAGACACCAUGGUACCUAACCUCGGCUUUCAGGAGAUGACACCAAGAGAACAGAACUUUCAAGGGAAGGCUACAGAGCAGGAAACCCCGUUCAAGGAAGGACACAACCACUAUUGUAACCAGAGUCUAAAUGCCUCAUUUGAGUGCCGGGCACAUUUAUACAUCUGGGUGAGAUUGCAAAUUUGGUUUGGAUAUUACAAAUGCUGUGAGCUGCAUAGUUCUCCUAAGCAAGGAGAUGGUCUUCAUCCUCCUUACCACUUCCACCCUUGCCUACCCCAGGGACUUUCUGACAAGAGAUGAAAUUGCUUCUUGUGGCUAUGAAGGUAGGUAUGGAGAAGCUAAGUGAGUUCUAUUUCUUAAUGGAUAGUUGAUUUUUUUUAUAUUUUUAGAAAGAUUAAGCCUAGCAAGUCAGUUCUACAAUUUCCACUUAUGAAAUAUAUAUUACAAAGGAAAUAUUUUAGUCUGAGUCCUUCAUCUAUACUACCAUGUAAAGAAUUUUAAAUAACAUAAUAGUCCCUAGUGGACCUCCGGUGAAAACCAUAAUAAUAAUAAUAAUAAUAAUAAUAAUAAUAAUAAUAGUAAUAGUAAUAGUAAUAGGCAUUGUCAUGUUUAGCUUCCUUGAGGUAUAAAAUGAUAAGAAAUUGAAAGCUAUAUUUUUCUUUUUCUUUUUCUUUUUCUUUUUUUAUUUGAAUGGCAUUGGCGAGGCAUUAUUCGUCAGUCUUUACAAAUAAGAAAAACUCGCCUCACAACUGUUCAUAACUGCCCUUCUGGGCAGUCUGUCUCUUCACGGACACAGUCACAUAUAUUCAAGAAAACACACAGAAAAUUAAGCUGAAACUCGAUUUCCUUUUAAAUUAAAAGUAAACGAUUUUCUACUAUUGCU
rnacentral:sRNA from 1 species